rnacentral:rRNA from 1 species
CCUACGGGAGGCAGCAGUGGGGAAUUUUGGACAAUGGGCGCAAGCCUGAUCCAGCAAUGCCGCGUGAGUGAAGAAGGCCUUCGGGUUGUAAAGCUCUUUUGUCAGGGAAGAAACGGUGGGGGCUAAUAUCUCCUACUAAUGACGGUACCUGAAGAAUAAGCACCGGCUAACUACGUGCCAGCAGCCGCGGUAAUACGUAGGGUGCAAGCGUUAAUCGGAAUUACUGGGCGUAAAGCGUGCGCAGGCGGUUUUGUAAGUCUGUCGUGAAAGCCCCGGGCUCAACCUGGGAAUUGCGAUGGAGACUGCAAGGCUUGAAUCUGGCAGAGGGGGGUAGAAUUCCACGUGUAGCAGUGAAAUGCGUAGAGAUGUGGAGGAACACCGAUGGCGAAGGCAGCCCCCUGGGUCAAGAUUGACGCUCAUGCACGAAAGCGUGGGGAGCAAACAGGAUUAGAUACCCUGGUAGUCCACGCCCUAAACGAUGUCUACUAGUUGUCGGGUUUUAAUUAACUUGGUAACGCAGCUAACGCGUGAAGUAGACCGCCUGGGGAGUACGGUCGCAAGAUUAAAACUUAAAUGAAUUGACGG